UUCACUUUAUACACAGUGUGAGUCGUGACAGUGUAUAAUGCCUGUCCCUAAAAUGUGGCUUUCGUCUGUGUGGCCAUGUUUCUCCUGCUGUGCUCACACCCCAAAAGAGGCAAAAUCUUAUAAGAAGCUCCAAUAUAGUGGCAAUGUUUUGCUUUUCUAGAGUGGACUUGAUUUUUCACAGCAGUUAUGAGGCAUCUCAGUCAUGGCAGGCAAAGACCCUUUUCACUCAGAAACAUAAGGCAUGAGAAGGAACUUGACAGCAUUGUGGAAAGCAGUGAGCUGUCAGUCGGAAAGGAUAAUCAGUUACCUUCUGGGAUCUGCCCUCAACUAACUGCUUUGACUUGGGAAUAAUGAUUGAGCACCAGAAACAGACAAGCGAGGUCCUGGGAAUAGAGCAUAAACACAGGAAAAGCAAACUCCAUUCUGGCUUGGGGGGACCUUGACUAAGCUUUGACAAAUGUGCACAGACUCCCAAGAGGAUCCAAGCCUUCAAAUCCAGGUUCAAACAGGUAACUGAAGAUUUACAUCUGUAAAUCUGGAUGGGAACUGAAUUCCUACAUCAUAGACAGUUUCAAGGAGGGAAGGAUUAUGUGUUCAGGAAAUACUCUGCAUUCUCAAAACUCUACAUUGUUGGUGCUUAGAUUUGCUCUGUGAGAACCUACUGAAAUAAACCUUUUCUCUGGAAG
rnacentral:lncRNA from 10 species